UUCUUAAUAGGCUGUUCACCCCAGAUGCAGGCAUCAGUCUCAGUCAGAACACAGCGUGGACAUGAGGGCCCUCACUCAGCUCCUGGGUCUCCUGCUGCUCUGGAUUCCAAGUACCAGAUGUGACAUCCAGAUGACCCAGUCUCCAUCCACUCUGUCUGCAUCUCCUGGAGACACAGUCACCAUCAAAUGUCAGGCCAGUCAGUAUAUUAGCAAUGAGUUAAGCUGGUACCAACAGAAACCAGGGAAAGCACCUAAACUCCUGAUCUAUGGUGCAAACAGGUUACAAUUUGGAAUCCCCUCUAGAUUUAGUGGCAGUGGACUUGGGACAAAGUUCACUCUUUCCAUCAGCAGCCUGCAGCCUGAAGACAUUGCCACUUAUUACUGUCAACAGGAUUAUGAUAACCCACCCACAGUAAUACAAGCCAUAACAUAAACCUCCAAGAAGCAG